rnacentral:misc_RNA from 1 species
UUUCACCGUCUUAUGUUGGUUCUUUCAAGCUGAAGAAACGUGUUUCAAGGUAUCCAGUGAAUGAUCGCCGACUCGAGAGAGAGGGUAUAACGAGUUACAGAAGCAGUCUCGAGACGUAUAUUUGAAAUCCUUCAACAUCGCCACCAACAAGCCAGUCUCGGCUUAAACAGAAAAUAAAACACUCGACAGUUCAUAACACCUCGAUAUACAUCCGUUGUCCGGGAUCAUCCUGUGAACUCCUCACGCAGUAUAUGUUGAGCAUACCCCAGAGUCGAAACAGUUCGAAGUGGGUACGUUCAUGUGCCACCCUAGAGACUGUGGUACGACCGCAUAGUAUUCACCCAAUGGGCGGGUAAUAAUCCUUUGGGAUGAUCUGGGGGCGCGGUAUGAGAUCGACAAGCUGACCGUGGCGGCUUCGAGAACAGCCGGUGACCCAACUGACGACUCCCUCUACAGCUGCCACAACAGCAGUCUCGAUCACAACGGCCAUGGCGGUCACAAAAUUAGUCGUCAAAGCGGCGUACAGGAAAUUGACGAGGACUCCAACUCGUCUCUAUCGUCUCAUCCACCGGCCAAAACAAGGAAAAACUCGAAAGAGACAGCAGAAGAAUGGCCUAGGGGAAAGCACCAGAACUAAGAUGGACAACCGCAACACAAUUAUGACUUAAACCUAUCGAUUCUAGUUUUCCGACAUUUCGACAGGGCACCUAAGAAUGGUACACUUUGGAAACCAUCUCUGGCAAGAGUGUCAAAACUAUGUAUAGAUAGGUCACGAGUGGAGCAGAAUUGGCUGUCGAAAGAUCCAUGCUGCCAAAAGCUGUUUCCAAAGAACUUCUAGAUGAUCGCUCGCGUAGAUUCCAUCGACAAACAUGUUCGCAAAGAAUACUCAGCCUGGCUUCCAAGUUAGAAGGAUCAAAGGUUGAAAGACGGACUACGACAGCAACGGUUAGUACAUUCAUACUAUGAUAAGGUGUUGGACGAAGAUGCGGGUCUGACAAGCAGUUGAUGGCCGUACUCUGUGGGAGCUGUGGCAGUGAUUGCGAAAGCCGACUCGAAGUUAUACUCUUUGAAUUACCACCAGGGAUGGUUUCGUCAGUCGCCGAGCGAAGCCAGCAAAGGAGGACAAGAUGCUGAAGCGAAGCUGGCGAA